GUCUCACACUCUGCUGGUAUUGAUGGAUGGUAUAGGUCUCACACUCUGCUGGUAUUGAUCGCUGGUAUAGGUCUCACACUGCUGGUAUUGAUGGAUGGUAUAGGUCACACCCUCUGCUGGUAUUGAUGGAUGGUAUAGGUCUCACUCUGCUGGUAUUGAUGGAUGGUAUAGGUCUCACUCUCUGCUGGUAUUGAUGGAUGGUAUAGGUCUCACUCUCUGCUGGUAUUGAUGGAUGGUAUAGGUCUCACUCUGAUGGUAAUGAUGGCUGGUAUAGGUCUCACACUGCUGGUAAUGAUGGCAGGUAUAGGUCUCACUCUGCUGGUAAUGAUGGCUGGUAUAGGUCUCACACUCUGCUGGUAUUGAUGGAUGGUAUAGGUCUCACUCUGCUGGUAUUGAUGGAUAGUGUAGGUCUCACUCUGCUGGUAAUGAUGGCUGGUAUAGGUCACACUCUGCUGGUAUUGAUGGAUGGUAUAGGUCUCACACUGCUGGUAAUGAUGGAUGGUAUAGGUCACACUCU
rnacentral:lncRNA from 1 species